CCAUCUCUUAAGACAACCACUCUGAGUACCUGCAUAUCCUGAUUACCAGAAAACAAAGGGAGGCUACCUGCAAGACUAGAGUCUCUACAAUGCAUACAGGUCUCUCCUGCAUUUAUCCUGUCUAGGUCACUCCCUGCUCCCUCCAGCUCUGUCAGCAUUACUCCAAAAUCCCAAUCUAGCCUAAGGAAUAAAUGCUCAGUGGUUCACGUGAGCUCUUGAGAAAAUUUUCAUCUUGAAUGUGAGUCCUUGUCUUGUUCUCCAAAUUCUCCCUGUGAGAUGUGAAACUAAGCCACAAAUAUGUGUAGUGUGGAACAAAGUCAAGGGGCCACAGGUUAGAACCUGAGUUAAAAAGGAGCCCAAGAGAACAGAUAGUCUGUCUCUUAACUGUUGAGGAAACUGGCUCAGAGAGGCUAAAUGACUUGCCCAAGGCGAGUGGUCCAGUGAAUUAUUAGAAGAGAUGAUUUUCCAGCAUGAUUUCCGGCCCACUAUGUGUGUGUUUUCAGGACACUGAUAAAUUCUACCAAAGCUCAAACCAGCAGUCUCAAGAUGAAUACUCAGUAGUCUCCAUGCCCAAUGUGGGGCUAGAACUCACAACCCUGAGAUCAAGAGUUACCAUGCUCUACCAACUGAGCCAGCCAGUCAUCCCUCAAUGGCAAAUGAAAAAAAGGUUCAGCUAUAAGCUGCCCUUGGUUAUUCCGACAGCUCCUAACUGUGUCAUAAAGCUGAUAAAAAGGAUUUGAAACAUCCAUAAAUGAAGUAAUGCUCUCUGCUUCCGACUCUCCUUCUUCAUA